AAAGUUCUGUUGCGCACGCGGCAAACGGGAGAGCUACAACCGUGGGAGAGAUAUACUGUUCAUGUUUGGUACAAAAGUUAAACAUAAGAAGACCAAAUAUCCCUGUUCCAGAGUGAAACAUAAGAGCCGGGGGAGGCUAUUUCUUCGGUUAUUGUCUGACGCUUUGCUUCGGUCAGGUUUUUUGAGUUGGAUUCCAAUACCAGAUUGCACUAGUGUGAGAACUGAAGUCUCCUACAUUCUGCUGAGGACUACUGGAAGACACUUUGAAGAACUCCAUUAAUGGAUGGCGAGCCACUGCCCAAAAGAACCUACCGACAGGCGUGACGUGAGCCUUGCUGAUGCGUAGAGGGUACUGCGUGGAGUUGAGCACUUCAUCUUCAUCCUGCUCAUCCAUCACCUUGCACUGGCGUAGAUAUGGGGUGAGUUUGGCUGGGUUGAGGAUUCGGGUCAGCUUGUGUCGUACUCCCUCCACACGAUCCCACAUCUCCUCGCAGCGCUCCUCAGUCCACGAGGGAGAAGAUCGCACUUCAUCCUGAACUAUGUCUGCCUCCUCCACAUAAAGUGUAACACCUGCGUGAGAACGGACACUUUUCAGUUCGAGGAAUUUGAGGAAGAAGAGCGUGGUCUGGAAAAUGAAGGCUCAGAGAUGUUCCUUAUUAAGGAUUAAGACUAAUUUCCACUUCCACCUCAUGUACACAUUUGCUGAUAUAUCUUAUAUCCAUCCUUAAAUAUUUUUCCCAUGGAGAACUGCAUUGGAAUUUGUUUCUCUGUGACUGCACUGAAAUUGGUUCAUUUUUGCAUUAAUUCCACAGACUCCAAAGAGUAACAGUCUUAAAUAAACUAUUUUAAAAUAAUCUCAAUCCCUAAUUAAAA